rnacentral:rRNA from 1 species
CCUACGGGCGGCAGCAGUGAGGAAUAUUGGUCAAUGGGCGCAAGCCUGAACCAGCCAAGUCGCGUGAGGGAUGACGGUCCUAUGGAUUGUAAACCUCUUUUGUCGGGGAGCAAGGCCCGCCACGUGUGGCGGGAAGGAGAGUACCCGAAGAAAAAGCAUCGGCUAACUCCGUGCCAGCAGCCGCGGUAAUACGGAGGAUGCGAGCGUUAUCCGGAUUUAUUGGGUUUAAAGGGUGCGUAGGCGGAAGGUUAAGUCAGCGGUAAAAUGUCGGUGCUCAACACCGGCCUGCCGUUGAAACUGGUCUUCUUGAGUGAGCGAGAAGUAUGCGGAAUGAGUGGUGUAGCGGUGAAAUGCAUAGAUAUAACGCAGAACUCCGAUUGCGAAGGCAGCAUACCGGCGCUCAACUGACGCUGAGGCACGAAAGCGUGGGGAUCGAACAGGAUUAGAUACCCCUGUAGUC